AAGUCGUAACAAGGUUUCCGUAGGUGAACCUGCGGAAGGAUCAUUAAGGGGAGUUUUUAGGGGCUCUGUCCCCCGUCCUCCCCAUCCGUGAUUACAUUAGGCCCCUGAUCUACCCUUGGGCGGGGCCCCGCCGGAACGGCCCCGCGCGGCCCCGAUGGCGUCCCCGCCGGGGAGACGCAACAAACCCUAUUUUAACGUGUCGUCCGAGCAAAAUGACAAACAAGUCAAAG
rnacentral:misc_RNA from 1 species